ACCCCUCUUUCGUUCCUUCCUAUGUUCUUCACUAAUCAAGUAAUCAGAAAACUGAACUCAAAGAAAGAAAAAGUGAAAACCCUAGGUAGCCUCCACUGCCGCUGAACGGAGUGAGCCACUGCCGUCGUCCGUCUUUAUCCGAGGCUUCUCUCUUCGUUCUUCGGCGUUCUCCAAGUCUCCAACCGCUGUCCGCUCUCAGAUUCACCAGUCGCAGUCGCGCAGCUUCUUCCUCGAGCGUCCGUUGUCUUCGUCUUCUUGCCGUCGUCUUCUUCUGCUGACUCUACGCGCCGCGGUUCUCGCCGUCUCAGACCGAAGAAAACCCUUCUCCAUUCCAAUCUCCUUCCUUCGAGUUCAGAGAUCAGAAGUUCAACCAAGAGAAAAACCCUAGCCUCCACUACCGUCGCAAGGAGCAGCCGUGUUUGCCACCGUCCGCCGCAGUCAGGGUUGUCUCUUUGAGUCUUCGUCCGCCGCACAGUCUUCUUUGGGAAAGGAUAGGAAAGGUGAUUUCACUAUAUUUCAGGGCGACGGGCGAGAAAGCUAAAGCCCCCAUAGAGAAGAAAGAAGGGGAGGGAAUAGAACUGAACCCCGAGGAGGCUUGCAAAGACUUUUUUUCUUCAAAUCGAGAGGAAUUGGACAGCACAAAAAAAGAAUUGACCCCAGACCGAUUUUUUGGCGCAGUUGCAAAAGAUAUCCGGAAACAUGGCCCGGCAUGUAUUUCUAAUUUUACAUGUUAAAAACUGAUUGUACUAAGAAGCUAGUUAAAAACAUAUUUUUUAAAGCUUUGGACUAAACCUGUACGCAAAUACAUGAAAAGUAGUUUAUUACUUUAUUUUACUGAAAUUGUAGAGAGUUUGAAGAGAGAAGUGUUCAUUUCUUGAAGGAUUGCUGCUUCUGUUAUUUGAAACUUCAGAGAUAUAAUUACAAAAUGAUUUUUUCGGUUGAAUUACGGUUGAACCGGUUAAACUAGUA